UACGGAGGGAGCUAGCGUUGUUCGGAAUUACUGGGCGUAAAGCGCACGUAGGCGGCGAUUCAAGUCAGAGGUGAAAGCCCGGGGCUCAACCCCGGAACUGCCUUUGAAACUAGAUCGCUAGAAUCUUGGAGAGGCGAGUGGAAUUCCGAGUGUAGAGGUGAAAUUCGUAGAUAUUCGGAAGAACACCAGUGGCGAAGGCGACUCGCUGGACAAGUAUUGACGCUGAGGUGCGAAAGCGUGGGGAGCAAACAGG
rnacentral:rRNA from 1 species